AGGAGAAAAUGUGUGUGUGUGUGUGUGUGUGUGUGUGUGUGUGUGUGUGUGUGCGUGCGCAUGCGUGUAUCUGGAUGAGAACUGUUCACAAUCAGUGUGCAAUUUUAAUCUCUAAAGCUGAACAAUGAACAUAAUCAUUACAGACUUCCUUUUGGAUACAGUUGAAAUGAGGAAAAGAUUUAUCAUGCUUUUCUUCUUUGUGGUCACCAACAUUCAAGUUUGUUUUUAAUCUACAUAUUUCUAAAACUUCUCUGCAAAUGCUCUCCCAUUUCUAGAACACCAAAAGCUUGCCUCCUCAUAUCCUUCCUAACCAUGCCCACUUGAUCAUCCUUCCUUCCUUACCCAUCCCAUCAGACACUUAAUUGUUUAACGCACUGUAACUGAUGCCUUCUUGUUCUAUUUCAGGGAUCAUUUCUCUCAUCAUUCAUUAAGCCUAGAAGUCUAAUACUAGAAGAAACAAUUUUUCCUCCUCUCGAUUUCCUAGAGAAGGAUUUUUGACACCCCUUUUGCGUCUCUCUAUCCCUUUAUUUAGUCUGCUUUCGCCUGAGUUCCCUGGAGCAAUGUUUCUGUUUAAAACCAUCUGGACAAGCUUUGUUCUCUUCGAUCCAUUCCUCUAGGGAGAAGGAUACUUGCAGUGAGCGUUAGUUUUGCUGCUACUCCUAAGGGAAAUGGUUCUUCACCAGGGAAGCUUCCACUAUCUUUUGUUGCCUUGACUGGGUGAUUAAAUCUAACCACCCAGGAUUAGAAAACCCUCUUUCUUAACAGCCCUGAAGCCAUGUCUUCUAGUCUCACCUCUAUGGGUAAUAAAAGAGAAAUUUUGCUUCAUAACCUGAGUAGGGAAAAAAGAUGCUCUUGAUUGUGGCCUUCACAGAUCCUGUUACCCAGCAUAACUCUCAUUUUAAUUUCUAUUCCUCUGGACUUUUUUGGAUUUCAUAGCAUUUAUAAAUCCUUCUCAGGAGUUUCCUGGCAGUUUAGGGGUUAGGAUUUGACAUUUUCACUGCUAGGGUCUGGGUUCAAUCUCUGGUUUGGGAACUGAGAUCCCACUUGAAGCUGCUGCAUGCCACAGCCAAUAGUAGUAGUAGUAAUAAUAAUAGUAAUAAUAAUAAUAAUAAUAAUAAAUCCUUCUCAUCUCUCCUUUACCACACAAGGCUCAUGGUUUUCAUGCUCUAUUAUAUGGGGAUGCAUGUGUAGCGAUUUGUGUGAUAUUUUGUGGAUGCAUACAUCUAACUUUCUUUUUUUUUUUUUUUUUUGGCUUUUUGGCUUUUUGCUAUUUCUUUGGGCUGCUUCCGCGGCAUAUGGAGGUUCCCAGGCUAGGGGUCUAAUCGGAGCUGUAGCCACCGGCCUACGCCAGAGCCACAGCAACGCAGGAUCUGAGCUGCGUCUGCAACCUACACCACAGCUCACGGCAACGCCAGAUCUUUAACCCACUGAGCAAGGGCAGGGACCGAACCUGCAACCUCAUGGUUCCUAGUGGGAUUCGUUAACCACUGUGCCACGACGGGAACUCCCACAUCUAACUUUCUUUGUCUAGUUCCCUCUGGCUACUGCUUUCCAUUUUCCUUUUUAUUUCUCUGGGUUCUUUGCUUUCUUUCUUCUUCUUUUGGUGGCAACACCAGACUUUUUCUUUUUUUAUUAAUCUUGCCAAACUACAACACCUGUUUCCUCUACUUAGCUGUGGAUUCCUGUGCCAAACCGGUGUAUGAUAUCUAAUACCAACAAAAGAGGUAUUAGAAAAGAAGAGACAAGAAAGAAAACAACAUUGAUGAUUAAAUAGGAUAAUAAAGAUACUAUUUUAAAUCUAAAAUAAAAGCAUAUUAGUCAAUAAGUGGGUUAUGCCACUUGAGUAGACAUCUGGAAAAAAUAAAUUGGAUUUCUACAUCACGCUUUACACAAAAUAAACAAAGUAGGUUACAUAAUUAAAAUAAUAAGUUAAAUAACACACACUAUAAAAAUAAAUAAAAUAAUAAAACAUCAAAAUUCUCAAAUGAUAGAUUUAAAGUUUGGACUUGAAAAAAUUCUUUUAGUAUGACUUGGGUCAUACUAAAGCUCAAAAAUCAUAAACGAAAAGAUUUUCUAAAUUUAAUUGUAAUAAAAUAAUUUUAAAAUUGUAAUAGUAAAAGGUCUCAAUUAAUAUCAGAUAUUUGACAAUAUUUUUCAAAAAUGACAAGUGCAUGCACCCUUCUUUAUACCAGCCAUUCUAAUCCUAGGAUUCUUUCCACAGGUAUAUAUACUGGGAUAUAUAAGAUAUGACACAUCUAAAAUUUUUUUCAUGUAUUUAAAUGUGUCAUUAAAUGUGAACAUUCAUUUUAGCAUGGUUUAUAUGUACAGUUGACACUUGACAACUUGAAUUUGAACUGGGAAGGUCCAUGUAUGUGCAGAUUUUUUUCAAUAAAAAUAUACUAUAGUACUCUACAGCCCGUGGUUGGUUGAAUCUGCAGAUGCAGAACCACAAAUAUGGAGAAACCAUGGAUGUGGAGGGCUGACUAUAAGGUUAUACUCAGAUUUCAUCUGUGUGACCGGUCAGUGCCCCAAGCCCCAUGUUAUUCAAGGAUCAACCGUACAAAAUAUUGGAGAAUGUAACUGUCCUUCGAUAGAGGAUUGAUUCGAUUUUAGUAAAUAAUUGGACAUAAAAAUAAUUGUUCAAGAAACACCAUGGCAAGUUAGUGUUUACUAACAGACUAAUUCACAUAAACUGAUUUACAAUAUAAGUUUUGAAUAAUUUGUUUAAAAAAAAUAGUUAAGUAUAGAACAGGAGAUGCAGCAGACUACCUUGUAGGUUAAAAAGGAAGAUGACGGAAAUAAAGGAAGAAAGGAAGGAAGGAAGGAAGGAGAGAGAGAGAGAGAGAGAGAGA
rnacentral:lncRNA from 1 species